AACGAACGCUGGCGGCAUGCCUAACACAUGCAAGUCGAACGAGACCUUCGGGUCUAGUGGCGCACGGGUGCGUAACGCGUGGGAACCUGCCCUUAGGUUCGGAAUAACUCCCCGAAAGGGGUGCUAAUACCGGAUAAUGUCUUCGGACCAAAGAUUUAUCGCCUUUGGAUGGGCCCGCGUUGGAUUAGCUAGUUGGUAGGGUAAAAGCCUACCAAGGCGACGAUCCAUAGCUGGUCUGAGAGGAUGAUCAGCCACACUGGGACUGAGACACGGCCCAGACUCCUACGGGAAGCAGCAGUGGGGAAUAUUGGAGAAUGGGCGAAAGCCUGAUCCAGCAAUGCCGCGUGAGUGAUGAAGGCCUUAGGGUUGUAAAGCUCUUUUACCCGGGAUGAUAAUGACAGUACCGGGAGAAUAAGCUCCGGCUAACUCCGUG
rnacentral:rRNA from 1 species